UACAGAGGUCCCAAGCGUUGUUCGGAUUCACUGGGCGUAAAGGGUGCGUAGGUGGCGAGGUAAGUCGGAUGUGAAAUCUCGGAGCUCAACUCCGAAACUGCAUUGGAAACUACCUUGCUCGAGGGUUGGAGGGGGGACUGGAAUACUUGGUGUAGCAGUGAAAUGCGUAGAUAUCAAGUGGAACACCAGUGGCGAAGGCGAGUCCCUGGACAACUCCUGACACUGAGGCACGAAAGCUAGGGGAGCAAACAGG
rnacentral:rRNA from 1 species